GCCAAAACGAAAUUAAUAGUCCUUCUGGCCAAAAUUCCCCUUUGGACUAAAAACUUCCUUUCGUUAUCUGUCUUCAAGAAUAUUCCUAAUAUCCUACAUCCUAGUGAUGCCAGAUGCACCUUUGCCGACAAGUGGUUUGUUUUGUGUCGGAUUGUUGAUAAGGGGAGGUCCCAUAACCGGCAGUUUAUGUGUGCGUGGAAAUAUGCCGGGUGAUUUAAAGUAGAUGUACUUAAUUUUUUUAUAAUUAAAAUAAAAAAACUGUGUUAAUCAUGGAUUUCGACUUAGUUUUGGAUUAUAUUGGUCAUUAUGGAAAAUUCCAAUGUUGCGUGAUGAUUCUCGCUGGCGUUGCUCAAAUAUUUGGAGGAAUGCAAAUGCAUUCAAGCAUCUUUUUAACUCCCAUGGACCAUCCGAAAAUAAAUUUUCAAAGAUGUUUUAUUCCUAAUUGUGAUAAUGGAACAACACAGUAUGAGGAGAGAUUUGUACAUUUUGCAGUGCCAAAUAUUACUGAUGAAUUUGGGAAUUCUGCUCCUAGUCCAUGUAUGCAUUAUGAAGCAAUUAAAGGUCAAGACUAUUGUGGUUAUGAGGCAUUUAACAGAAACAAAACUGUCUCCUGUCAGUCUUAUGUAUGGGAACAUACAGAAUUUCAAGAAACUGCCAUUUCUGAAUUUAGUAUAGUGUGCAAGAAAAGUUGGAAUGGAGCAAUGUCGAAUUCCAUAUUUAUGGUUGGAGUAUUGUUUGGAUCUGCUGGAUUUGGAGCAAUUGCUGACAAAUAUGGACGGAAAAAUGUCAUGAUGUCAGCUUCUUUAAUAAUGUUAGUUUCAUCAGUUGGCACAUCCUUUGCUCCAAGCUUUAAUGUAUUCUCAUUAUUACGCUUCAUCACUGCAGCUGCAGUAAGUGGACUUUUUCAAACUGGAUAUAUAUUAGCUGUAGAAUUCAUCGGAACUUCCAAGAGACUUAUAUGUGCUAACAUUAUGCAAAUAGUUUUUGCUGUUGGUGAAUUAAUUUUGGGAUUUAUUGCUUAUUUUGUAAGAAAGUGGAGAGUCUUAGAAUUGAUUAUAUCAGUACCAUCUGCUAUUCUAAUUGUAUAUUAUUGGUUUUUGCCAGAAUCUGUUAGGUGGUUAAUUUCUAAAGGCAAACACAAUAAGGCAAAGCAGACUAUAUUAAAAGCUGCUAGGUGGAACAAUGUUGCUGUACCUGAACAUCUGCUUAGAGCAUCUGAAUAUAGUAAUGCGGAUCCUGAAAUUGAUGAGCGACAACAGUCAAAUUCACCUAUGAACUUAGUGCGUACAUCUCAGAUGAGAAAAUGGACAAUGAAUAUUUCUUUUAAUUGGGUUGUAAAUGCUAUGGUUUAUUAUGGCUUAUCAUUGAGUGCUGGAAAAUUAAGUAAAAAUACUUAUGCCAAUUUUGCAAUAUUAGCUGCAGUGGAAAUCCCAGCUGUAUUUCUGGCUACUUGGGCUUUAUAUUAUUGUGGUAGGAGAAAUGUUUUAUGUUCUGUAAUGGUAUUUGGAGGCCUUGCUUGUGGGUCAACUGUCUUUGUUCCUCAAGCUUUAUCUUGGGUUGCAGUGAUGCUUGCAGUUAUAGGGAAGAGUGCCAUAGCUGCAUCUUUUGCCAUCAUUUACAUAUAUUCUGCAGAGAUUUAUCCUACUGUCCUGAGGAGCACAGGAAUAGGUUUUAGUAGCAUGUGUGGAAGACUUGGAGGUAUAAUAGCUCCAUUCAUCAAUGAAUUGAGGAAAGUCUAUAAUCCUUUGCCAAUGAUAAUAUUUGCUGUAGCAGCAAUUAUAUCUGGAUUACUGGCAUUGACAUUACCUGAAACCCACAACAGGCAGUUGCCUGAAUCUGUAGAAGAAGCAGAAGCCUUGGCUUCACCCAGAGGUGCUGGAUUUGAGAGACUAAUAUCCAGAGCGCGAAAUUUACCUAGAAUAGGUAGUACAUCGCCAAGAUCAUUAAGACGGGAUGUAGAAGAAAGGAGACGUCUGAUAAAUGCAUAAUUAUUGUGAACUACUUUAAAUUAUGUCAUUCAUCAUAAGGUCCUUAAUUUUUUCUUUGAUGGUCCUUAAAAGUCCUUAAUUUUCAUGUAAGGAAAUGUGUACGAACCCUGGUAUUUGAUUAUCACCAAAAACUGGUAAGAGUUUUAUUUUAACACGUUCACGCUGGGGCCAAUUUAAAUGUUCUUCGCCGUGAGACGACGCUCGAAUUUUUGCCACGUUUCGUCUGGUGGCGCGUGAUUAUUACCUGCUGAGACCUGUAUACGAGUUCAUCUAAUAACACAAUUAAAUGUGUGACAUCGGUGGCACGUGCCGCCCGAUAAGACUGACUUUGCGGGCCACCGGUGGUACGUGCCGCCCGAUGAGACAGGCUAGUGUGGGCCACUGGUAUCCCAUGCCGACAUGAACGUGUUAAUUCAGCAUCAAUCUACAGUUACUUUUUUAUUUAACUUUACAUUGUACAUUGGCAUUUGAACAAGUAUUUUACCCUCUCGAUGAACUUCAUCACAUUUGAACUUUUUUACUUUCUUUUGUGAAGUAUAGUAAUCAUGGAAAAUUUAGAUAUCAUCUUUGAAUGAAAAUAUUCAUUUUGACCAUUUUCAAAUCCAUUUGGAUGAGUUUUGUGUAUGAUGUCUGUACGUAUGGACAGAAUAAAGGACUCUUUGUUUCAAAAAUAGCUUGUAAAAGGAUUCAAAAGGGUUUUAUUUUGACAUCUCUGCAUAUGUACAUAUGUAUAUCUCAUAUAAUUUAUAAACGAUUAGCCAUAGAACAUUCAAAUUUUGUAUAUGGGACUGCUAUAACAUUUAGUUGUGCAACUCCUCUUUUUAUUGCAAUCAGCAUACCA